rnacentral:misc_RNA from 1 species
GCUGAGAAGGAACUGUCCUAUCCAUUUGUAUUGGGCAUUUAUGACUUUGUACAAAUGGCGGCAACAAGAACUGGAAACACACAAUGCUUAGACUAAAGAGUAAGCUGAAAGAUGAGAGACCUGACGUUGGAUCCUUCUGAUGCUAAAUCUACCAUUGCUCCAGACAAAAAUCCCGAAAAGACAAGAAAGAUAGGAAGGGGAAAAUUACAGAAGAGGCUUUCCAUAUAUAGACAAAUU